UCAUCCGUCCCCGGGAAAAGCGUAUGGAGGCGGCAGGUUCACAGGACGCUUGAGAACCGCCCCUGAGGGCGAGCUGCUAUGUAGGAUGUUAAAGGCGGCGUUCAGGGGAGGGUUGAUGUUCAUCGUGGAGAAGGAAGGAAAAGUUGUCCUGGAUGGCGUCUCAUUGUAUGAUUAUUCAGUGUACGCCCGAGAUUACAUUGACUACACCCGGACAUUGAAAGCGGAACUGGCAGCCAAAGGCAUCACAGAGGCGAACACAGAUCAGGAAGAAAAGCUGGUAGAGACUUUUACUGUCGAUGGUUGGUAGCUUUCGUCAGUCUUAUGAUACCGAUAGUCUUACUCCAAAUGACAAUGUACUUUUUCAUAUGUAUUAAUGUUCUGUUUACAUGGUAUCUUUCUCUCUACCAUCUAUUUCACCGUUGUGUCUUUAUAGAGUUGAGUUUUGAACUGCUUGUCUACUAUGGAGUAGGGAUGGUUAAUUCACAUGAAGGAAUGAAUUUGUUUCAAUACACACGAUUAAUUAUUUUCGUUCAGAUUACAUAGGAUAAUUUCAACAUCGUGAAAUAUAUGUAUUGUAUGGAUAUAUAUCGUCCACAAAGUGUUAAACACGAAACAGUAUUUCAUGAUUAAUGUAGUACCUUUGUUUUAAUAUCGGUUGACAGUUUUAGAUAAUACAAUAUGAUAAUAAGUAAGCAGACAAGGCAAUGUCCAAGUUCAUGUUUUUCACUUUUAUGAUAACAUUUCAUUUAUAAUGUUUAAUAACUUCAAGUUCGAAGUCGCACUGAGUUCUGUAAUGAUAUGAUAGCAAGUUAACAUACAAAAGAAUAAAAGAGGCGCAUGUUGAACCAGACGGAAACUUGGAAAUAGACGUUCUCGGUCGAUUGGCCUGUAUACCGUCGUGGUUACCUGUUGUGGAUAUUGUAUCUUCAAAUGAACUCGUGUUAAAAAUGAAAUUUUCGUGUUGUAUAAGAUGUUUACGUAGUUGUUUAAAAAAUCAAAGGACAUAAUUUGAAAUGUUUUUAACUUUGGUAAGAACCUCUACAUUUUAUGGUCAUUUUAUUUGUAUGUAAAUAAACGUUGAGACGAGUAAUAUUCCAUUGGAAGAGUAAUUGGAAGCCAUAUGUCGGAGUAAUUUGCUGAAGACGACAUAACAAGCAUGAACAAUGCAUACAGUGUAAAUAAUAUCUUAUAUUUUUUAAGUUAGGUUUUAUCCUUGUGCCUCUUAAAACAUAAUUCGUUAUUUUGAUGCAAGCUUAUAUUCCCUUGUAUUUCCAUUGUAUGUGUCGGAUGAAUGUUAAACAUUAUGCUUUUAUUCAUUCCACUUUAUAACUAAUACUGUUUUGCUAUAACUGUGUUUCCUUGAUGCCUAUGUUCAAUAAUACUUUGUCUUUAUCAGGGGUUUAUAUGUAAUAUAUAGUUUUAGAAUGUUAUAAUUGCCCAUGCGAAAUACGUGCGUGUUGUUUUAUUUUUCAUUUUAAAAUGUUUUGAUGUUAACAAUUUAGGUUAAAUAUUUCAUAUUCCUUACAUCUACCCACGUAGAAGACGUUUAUUACAGCAAACAUAUCGGACAUGCCACGAUUGGCCCGCUUAAAACGCUUACAUUUAAAAAACAACAACACAGUUUUAUAUAAAGGAUACUUUAAGAACUAUGGCUUUAAUGUUAGAGGGGGGACUUGGGGGCAAACUCAGAAGAAUAUCCAAUAAACGAAUCAACAACCGGCUAUAUUAGAACAUUUCCAUAUGAGGCAUGAGCCUUGGGCAAGCAUUGAAAGUAGCUGCAAACCGUCAGAACUUGAACACGAAUGGUACUAUAACAACAUGUAAUGUUAUAUUUGUUCUUCUUAAACUAAUUGUAUAAUGUGUAAUAAUAAGUGUAGUCAUUAAAAACAUACGCAUCAGAGUCAUCAGGAUGGAUGCUAGAGUUUAUACUUGUGUCGAACCUGUGGUUUGCUGAUAAACGUGACCACUUCUUAUAAUUCAAUUUGCAAUGUAUAUAUAUAUAUAUAGGUCGAUGAAAUUAACUUCAAACUUAAAAAUAAAGCGAGCAAAUAUUACUGCAAAUUAUACAUUUUAGGGAAGUUUGUACGGAACACUAUACAGAAAUGAAAAUUUUCUAAAAAGAAAAGUGCUGAAAAAUAGGUUAAACUCUUUUUUUGCUCUGCCCUUAUUGAAUAAAAGUCUCUAUUUAUCCAACAUGCACACUUCAUAACCCUCAGUACCGUUUAAGGGCAUCAUGAACGCCUCUAUAUUCAUAUCCACAAUUUAUGACCCUCUUAACCAGUAUCGGUAGUUCAUAUCUGAUGUUAUAUAAUUUAGACCGGCUCCACUUAAAUAAAAUGUAGAUCGAUUCUUUUAGGUCAGCGAUAGCUAUUCGUCAAAUAAACAGCCUGUAAUUCGUUAAGUUUGUUUAUAAAUAAUUCAGGCUGAUAACGCUUCUUGUCAUAAAUACACACAGUUGCUAUAAUGUAAGGUGAUAAAGUAAUAAAUGUUCUUUUACAUGCACAUGUAAAAUGUUUUCUCAUACACGUUUUCAUUAAAAUGAACACUCCAAAACACUACAUAUCCUUUAAAUUGACAAACAUCCAAAAACGUUUUAUAUAACGAUCAUAUCUAAUUUUGAUAAAUAGUUUUGUAAUAAGUUUGGAGUUGAUAUUUUUAUAAAACACGUAUGUUGUUCUGUCAUUAAAAAGACGACACACAGAAAUACUAGGAGUACAAAACCGAGGUAUUAAAAUGCAUACGUACAUUUCCAUAUCAAAGUGUUUUGAUGAAAUAAUGAUGUGCUAGUGAUUCAGUUCCGUAAAAUGACAAUCCAUUGUGUUCCUUCUCGAAAUGUGUUACCAUUGUUUCGAAAAUAUUACGCUUCGUUUUGAUCCCCAACCCGUUGUGACCGUUCAAUUGCAUAUUUCUUUGGAAUCGUAUAGUCCCUGAACAAGUUCUACUUUGUCAGAUUUCAUCAAAUUCUAAGAAUGCACUCUUACUCUCAAACAGGAUUUACCGGAAUAAGUAAAAAUGUUCCAAAAUACCAAAAGAGAUAAAUUAAUGUCAAAAGCAAUGGUCCAUACGAAGCAUACCGAGAUCAUAUUUAAAGAAAGGUGCAGAAAACACGGUAUUGCUACCUUAUGUGAGAUAUGGUAUAACAGUAAAUCUUUUAGCACUCACCAAUCAGUUAUUAUUUUUGCAACUUAUUUACCUAAUAAAUACAUGGUCACAAUUUUGUUAUCAGUUAUUCAUAUUUUUGAUAAUUUUACUACUCAAAAUGUAUGUUUGUAUACAUGUGUUUGUAUUGAUUUUGAAUAAAUGUGCCUCUUAAAAUA